UUUGUCACUCCAAUAACUGCUGUGUAAGACCCCUCGUUGUAAUAUUACAACGUCACUUUUAUCUCUCUAAAAAACACAUUUGCAAAAACGUUUUUUGGGGAAAGACCAUAUUUACAUAGUCAAUGGGUCCUAUUGUCUUGCCUUGCAAUGCCAUUGGAUUGUAAAUGUGUAUAUAGGUGUGGCCAUAAGGCCAUGAACUCACUCUACCUGCAAACUUUCCCGGAAGCACAUCUCCUUGUUUCAUUCAACUGGUUAUAUCAACAUUGAAAAUGCCACCAGCAAGGAGAGCAAAUGCUGAAAUUCUGCUACCAACUAGGCCCAACGUUGCAAUAUUACAACGUUUCCCUAAAAACUUACAAAAACAUU